rnacentral:tRNA from 1 species
GGGCGUGUGGUGUAGAGGUAUGAUUAUCGCUUCGGGUGCGAGAGGCCCUGGGUUCAAUUCCCAGCUCGCCCC